UACGUAGGGUGCGAGCGUUGUCCGGAAUUAUUGGGCGUAAAGAGCUCGUAGGCGGCCUGUCGCGUCGGUUGUGAAAGCCCGGGGCUUAACCCCGGGUCUGCAGUCGAUACGGGCAGGCUAGAGUUCGGUAGGGGAGAUCGGAAUUCCUGGUGUAGCGGUGAAAUGCGCAGAUAUCAGGAGGAACACCGGUGGCGAAGGCGGGUCUCUGGGCAGUAACUGACGCUGAGGAGCGAAAGCCAGGGGAGCAAACGGG
rnacentral:rRNA from 1 species